CAGCCGCCACGGUAAUAUGAGGGGGGCAAGCGUUGUUCGGAAUUAUUGGGCGUAAAGGGUGCGUAGGCGGUUUGACAAGUCUUAUGUGAAAUCUCUGGGCUCAACCCAGAGUCUGCAUGGGAAACUGUCGAGCUUGAGUAUGGGAGAGGUGAGUGGAAUUUCCGGUGUAGCGGUGAAAUGCGUAGAUAUCGGAAGGAACACCUGUGGCGAAAGCGGCUCACUGGACCAUUACUGACGCUGAUGCACGAAAGCUAGGGGAGCAAACAGGAUUAGAUACCCCCGUAGUCCCUGUCUCUUAUAC
rnacentral:rRNA from 1 species